rnacentral:rRNA from 1 species
GAUGAACGCUGGCGGCGUGCCUAAUACAUGCAAGUCGAGCGAACAGACGAGGAGCUUGCUUCUCUGACGUUAGCGGCGGACGGGUGAGUAACACGUGGAUAACCUACCUAUAAGACUGGGAUAACUUCGGGAAACCGGAGCUAAUACCGGAUAAUAUAUUGAACCGCAUGGUUCAAUAGUGAAAGACGGUUUUGCUGUCACUUAUAGAUGGAUCCGCGCUGCAUUAGCUAGUUGGUAAGGUAACGGCUUACCAAGGCGACGAUGCGUAGCCGACCUGAGAGGGUGAUCGGCCACACUGGAACUGAGACACGGUCCAGACUCCUACGGGAGGCAGCAGUAGGGAAUCUUCCGCAAUGGGCGAAAGCCUGACGGAGCAACGCCGCGUGAGUGAUGAAGGUCUUCGGAUCGUAAAACUCUGUUAUUAGGGAAGAACAAAUGUGUAAGUAACUAUGCACGUCUUGACGGUACCUAAUCAGAAAGCCACGGCUAACUACGUG